rnacentral:lncRNA from 1 species
AGUGCGCCCUGGCACCAUCUUGCUUGCAUUCUGGGUAGAGUCAUGGGGUUUGGGGCGGUGUCCUCAGUGCGCAGAGCGGCUUAAAUCAGAGGCUGAGCCCGGCGCUUCCAUAUCACGCUGUACUCUAGCUAAGGACUGGGAAGCAAGUCUAUCCAAGGCUCCUUCAUGUAACCACGCGGCAGUUGGCAGGCACUAGUCCUAGACAACUGAGUUCUCCCUGAAGAAGAGUUAAAGCAAAAUAAAAACUCACAAAAAGGAAAACAACACGAAUAAAAAGAACUAGCAUGGGACCUAAAGGACGUUGCUGAACAAGGAAAAGAGCCCAUCAGGUAGAAGACCCAGAGGAACACCAGGCCUCUGAAAACUAUUUCUGAACCUAAAAUAAAGAUAUUUAGAAAACUGUUUAGGAUCUUUCUUUAAAAAAAUAAUAAUAAUAAUUUUAGUUUUAAUGAUUGACAAAUGAAAAUGAAAUACGUGUAUGGUGUGCAAAAUGACGUUUUAAUAUAUGUAUACAUUGUGGAAUGAAUAAAUCAGGC